UGUUUGUCUUUUAAACAUGCCAGGAAAAACAUGUUGUAGCUCUUGAACUUGUCUAAGUAGUUACAGCAGGGCAAGAAAUCUGGUGCUUCUGUCUGUGGGAAAUUAAUGGAUGUCUCUACAGGAGAUCUGUGCAGUUUGUUCCCCUUUGAAAUGAGUUCAUUUCUUUUGGAAAUUAAAAAGGAAAAGGCAGGAUUUGCAGAUGAAAUUAUUCAUCUAAAGAAAGUGGAAAUACACUUGAAUAAAGGAAACCACAGUGUGGCUGUGUGUCAGUAUAACUGUUUUAACUGUUUUACAUUUCAUUUGCAUGCAUUUAGAAUUAGAUAUUCUUUAAGAUCUAUACUUAACACCCAUCGAUACAUUUGGGGCCAUGUAAGUGUAUUUUUUGUUUGUGUGGGGCUUUUUGUUUUGUUUUGUUUUGUUUUUAAAAGAUGCCUUUGACUGCUUAUUUGAAGUUUACAAAUUGGUCAUAAAUUGACUACUUAUUUGAAGGUUAUAGAAUCAGACAACUCGGAAUGCUUAGGUUAAUAUCUUGUAAAUAUAAGAGAAGGAGAAUAUGCUUACAGUACUGCAAUGCCACUUGUAUGGAUAGUUCCCCAAAACCAAGAGAUUCAUUCACAAUCCUUGCACAAUUGUAACUUGGGCAUGGUAAAUACACCGUGUUGUAAGAAUCAGUAUUUUCUUUGAUUGUUUUUAGUGUACACCAUAUGAUAUUGUAACACAAGACUUCAAUUCAUAUUUGACAGUGAAAACACCUUAUGCCCCUUUCCUAUAUUCUGUUCCAAGCAUACGUGGCACAGCAGUAUUACUUGUUGGGAUUUUUCUCAGAACUAAAUUUCUGUCUGACAAAUAGUCAUUGUUACGAAGCAUGUCUGUGGAAAGGAAGGGGAGGGAGAAUUCUUUAGAGAAAGGAAGGGGAGGGAGAAAUUGAAGGAUCUGCUAAAUACUUGGAAGUGCUGCACAGGGCAGAAGAUUACUUCCAACAGUCUGUUACCAAGCCCGAAAGGUAAGAGCUACUUGAAAUUCAUGAGUAACCAUCCAUACGCAGUACCUACAAGUACUUUAAUUUACCUUUUUUAAUACUUGUUACAAAGAACCCGAACCCUUUUCUCCACUGUACACUUAACAUAGGUGCUGUGGCUAAGACAUAGGGGUAUUAAUUCCUCUAGAAUACUCUGCUAGUAGAAGUUACUGCUUGAGUAACUAUUUAUCUUGGUUUUGUAAAAUGCUAAGCUAUUCCAAGUGGGUUAAGAGGUGACUGAAAAGCAUCAUUUGGCUGGUUGGUUGUAGAAAGUGUUUAAAAGCUUAAUUGAAAAUCAAUCUUAGUGAAUAAGAAAUAUGGAGUAAUCUGUCUCCUUUACUUACGAGAGGCAGCUGGCUGUAAAUUUCUCUAAAAGAUCAAAUCCAAAAAAUAAAUCAUUACAAAAAUAUCUGAGGGUUUGCCAACUCAUAAUAUCUUGACUGUUAGUUGCUUGAAUUUCCAGUCUUGUGCUGUUUGGGAUCUGGCAGUCCUAAUGUUUACCAAGGCAAAAUAAAUAUAAAUAACAAAAGAAGCAUGAGAAAUUUGCUUUGGAGUCAUCAACAAGGAGUAACAGUAACUGACCGUGUCCUGUUUUGGCUAAUACUAUUGGUGUAGUAUUCUGGUACUUUCCCCAGAUUCACUUACCUUUUUGAUGUCUUUGCACAGAAGGAAUCUUGAGGAAUUGGAGUGAAAACUUGCGUGUAGUGUGUGUGAUGCCACUGGUAUCGUAAUGCUAGUAAAAAUCCAUUUCAGUAAAUGGAAUUUUUUUCGUCCUGCUCUUUUGAAGUGAGCCCAGGUGAUGAAAUCUUGACACUGCUACAGACAACAACUGUUGAUUUGAAGGAAUUUGAGAGAGAAGCAGCUUGUCUUUUUCCAGAGGAUGAUGACAGUUGGCUGGAGAUUACAGCAGGUGAUCUAGAUCAGAUGCUGAAGGAGGCAAGAAAUGAGUCCCUUCCUUCCUCCAAUGAGGAAGAGCAGAAAUACGACUUGGAAGCAGUUGCUGAAAGUAUGAAGGCUUUUGUAUCCAAAGUCUCACCACGUGAAGGAGCAGAAAUGCCAUGGCAGUAGUAUUUUUAAGUUUGGGGCAGACUCAGAAGAGCUGGAUUCUGAUGGUCUGGAUGAAGAGGAGGAGUUUGAUUUCUCGAACAAGGAUGAUGAAGACUUAGAUGUGGAAGAUCAAAGGCAAGACCAGAAGGUGCCGCCUAAUGAGCUUAUAGGCAGUCUCAAGUCAUACAUGAGUGAGAUGGACCGUGAACUGGCACAUACCAACGUUGGUAAAAGUUUCACCGUCCAAAAGAGAGGGGCAAGUUCUGUUAAUGCAACUACGUCUCAAAGUGCUGGCCCUGAUUCCGGAGCUGAAGAUACUGAGUUGACUGAAAUAAAAAAGGCCCAAACAAUAGGCCUCAAACCAAAGUUGACUUCUGAGUGAAUUCCACGACCAGCA